rnacentral:rRNA from 1 species
CACGUAGGGUGCAAGCGUUAAUCGGAAUUACUGGGCGUAAAGCGUGCGCAGGCGGUUCUAUAAGACAGAUGUGAAAUCCCCGGGCUCAACCUGGGAACUGCAUUUGUGACUGUAGAGCUGGAGUACGGUAGAGGGGGAUGGAAUUCCGCGUGUAGCAGUGAAAUGCGUAGAUAUGCGGAGGAACACCGAUGGCGAAGGCAAUCCCCUGGACCUGUACUGACGCUCAUGCACGAAAGCGUGGGGAGCAAACAGG